rnacentral:rRNA from 1 species
ACUCAAAGGAAUUGACGGGGCUCCGCACAAGCAGUGGAUCAUGUGGUUUAAUUCGACGCUACGCGAAGAACCUUACCGAGGCUUGACAUCCCGAUCGCACCCCUAGGAAACUAGGGGGUCAGUUCGGCUGGAUCGGUGACAGGUGCUGCAUGGCCGUCGUCAGCUCGUGUCGUGAGAUGUUGGGUUAAGUCCCGCAACGAGCGCAACCCUUGUCGUGUGUUGUAUUUUUCACGCGAGACCGCCCGGGCCAACCGGGAGGAAGGUGGGGAUGACGUCAGGUCAGCAUGGCCCUUACGCCUCGGGCCACACACGUGAUACAAUGGCCGGUACAACGGGUCGCUAAGUCGCAAGAUGGAGCUAAUCCCAUCAAAACCGGUCCCAGUUCGGAUUGCAGGCUGCAACUCGCCUGCAUGAAGUUGGAAUUGCUAGUAACCGUGGGUCAGCACACCACGGUGAAUACGUUCCCGGAGCUUGUACACACCGCCCGU